GACGAACGCUGGCGGCGUGCCUAAUACAUGCAAGUCGAGCGAAGUGGAGAGAGCUUGCUCUCGAAGCUUAGCGGCGAACGGGUGAGUAACACGUGGGCAACCUGCCCGAUAGACCGGGAUAACUUGGGGAAACUCAAGCUAAUACCGGCUAGGAACAUUGACCGACCGGUUGGUGAGGGAAAGUCUGAACGACACAAGCGGAUGGGCCCGCGGCGCAUUAGCUAGGUGGUGGGGUAACGGCCUACCAAGGGGACGAUGCGUAGCCGACCUGAGAGGGUGACCGGCCACAAUGGGACUGAAACACGGCCCAGACUCCUACGGGAGGCAGCAGUAGGGAAUCUUCCACGAUGGGCGAAAGCCUGACCGAGCGACGCCGCGUGGAGGAUGAAGGCCUGCGGGUUGUAAACUCCUGUCAGAGGGGAUGAACGCGAGGAGGGCUCUCCCUCUUCGUCGACAUAUCCUCAGAGGAAGGACGGGCUAAAUUCGUGCCAGCAGCCGCCGUAAUAC
rnacentral:rRNA from 1 species